GGCUGUGGGAUGGGAGCCAGAUAUUGGAGGGAGGAGGCAAGUAAGUGCUGGAGACCUCAGGAUUUUAUUGUAGGGCACAUGGACUUUGUAUGAGAAUGUCAAAAACUCAUUUUGUCUUUAGCACAGGAAGAUGCUUGGCAAAGAGUUAAUGACACUGAAGAAUUCUUACAAAUGUUAUGGAUGGGUGUUAAUUUUCACAGAUAGGCAUUCAUUGUCAGAUGUUUAUGCUUUCCAUUCCUGAAACUCCUCCUGUCUGUGGAUCCUCAUCACAAGGAGGGGAGGGCUACCAUCCCAGCUGCAAACUCUCAUUCAAGGUUUAUGCUGCAGCCAGCAGAGUCCUUGGAGUCUAGUUCAAAGCUGAAGAGAGUGAACCAUGGAACUGGGAGCCAUUGGCGGAGAGGCUGGCCUGAAGGAAGGGAAGUGUUUCAGCCAGAAUGUACUGACGCACAACCAGGAAACCACAAGACUGGUGAGAACCUUUCCAAAACUGAGCUUUAUGAUCAAAAGAGGUACAGGAAAUAGCUCUGCCAAGAGUCCUUUCUGCUCCUGGCUGGAACCCUGAGCUUCUGAGGCUCUCUGAGUCAACUCCCUGAACAGAUGCUGUCACCCAAGGAGCCAUCACUAAAGCAUUUUUUUGCUUUGCUCUGAGGUGGCCUCACUGGUGGGUGCAAGUGAGUUACUGUCUCUUGUUCUCUUUCUUGUUUCUUUCUUUUGACAGAAGUUGCCAUAUGAUUACUCAAUUCUGAAUUUUCAGAGACCAUAGGUUACUGGACUUAUGCCCUUUGCCAACUGACCAUUGUUUGGUGCUGAGGGCCUGUAUACAAACACGACAUCCCCAAACUCUUAUCAAUACUUAGAUCAACUGACAUGAAUCUAUCAAUACCCUAGACUUAACAGGGUACUGAAGGAAAGAGAACCGGCAAUUCCUUCAUUUCUUACAUCCCAGCCAGUAGUCCUUCUCCCAGGCUAGUCUUCCUUUUGUUUCCCCUAAGAAUGACUCAACUAGGAAUUGCAUUCAGAUCCCUGUCACAGAUAUAAAUCUUGUCUGGAUACAAGGUCAAAAUAAUUGUGUUCCUGUGGAUUCUUUUUCUUUUUUCAACCAGAGUAACUACCAGCUGCCAUGAAAUAAAUCACAUCAUCAUAUGGCAGAUCCAGCUAAUAGCUGAGACUAGCAGGUUAACUGAACCGUGUCCUCAGAGCUAAAUGAUGGAGAAAUUGGAUUGGCCAUGGAGCACUUCAAAUUGAUUGCUUAGUAAUGGGAUAUUUUUCCUGGAAAGACAACAGAAUACUUCUGAAUUGUUGGUUCUGUCAUGGGUACGGGCUCCCAUGUACAGGAAAAUAAAGAAAGUGUGAUGAAUUUUUCA
rnacentral:antisense_RNA from 1 species